rnacentral:rRNA from 1 species
ACGGGUGAGUAAUGCCUAGGAAUCUGCCUGGUAGUGGGGGAUAACGCUCGGAAACGGACGCUAAUACCGCAUACGUCCUACGGGAGAAAGCAGGGGACCUUCGGGCCUUGCGCUAUCAGAUGAGCCUAGGUCGGAUUAGCUAGUUGGUGAGGUAAUGGCUCACCAAGGCGACGAUCCGUAACUGGUCUGAGAGGAUGAUCAGUCACACUGGAACUGAGACACGGUCCAGACUCCUACGGGAGGCAGCAGUGGGGAAUAUUGGACAAUGGGCGAAAGCCUGAUCCAGCCAUGCCGCGUGUGUGAAGAAGGUCUUCGGAUUGUAAAGCACUUUAAGUUGGGAGGAAGGGCAUUUACCUAAUACGUAAGUGUUUUGACGUUACCGACAGAAUAAGCACCGGCUAACUCUGUGCCAGCAGCCGCGGUAAUACAGAGGGUGCAAGCGUUAAUCGGAAUUACUGGGCGUAAAGCGCGCGUAGGUGGUUUGUUAAGUUGAAUGUGAAAUCCCCGGGCUCAACCUGGGAACUGCAUCCCAAACUGGCAAGCUAGAGUAUGGUAGAGGGUGGUGGAAUUUCCCUGUGUAGCG